GAUCCUAUGGCCUAAUGGUUAGAGCAUCCUCCUCGGAUGCGAAAGGUCGUGGGUUCAAACACCUACUGAGUCA